AUUGAACGCUGGCGGCAUGCCUUACACAUGCAAGUCGAACGGCAGCACGGGAGCAAUCCUGGUGGCGAGUGGCGAACGGGCGAGUAAUAUAUCGGAACGUGCCCAGUAGUGGGGGAUAACUGCUCGAAAGAGCAGCUAAUACCGCAUACGACCUGAGGGUGAAAGGGGGGGAUCGCAAGACCUCUCGCUAUUGGAGCGGCCGAUAUCAGAUUAGCUAGUUGGUGGGGUAAAGGCCUACCAAGGCAACGAUCUGUAGUUGGUCUGAGAGGACGACCAGCCACACUGGGACUGAGAGACGGCCCAGACUCCUACGGGAGGCAGCAGUGGGGAAUUUUGGACAAUGGGCGCAAGCCUGAUCCAGCAAUGCCGCGUGCAGGAAGAAGGCCUUCGGGUUGUAAACUGCUUUUGUCAGGGAAGAAAUCCUCUAGGUUAAUACCCUUGGGGGGAUGACGGUACCUGAAGAAUAAGCACCGGCUAACUACGUGCCAGCCGCCGCCGUAAAAC
rnacentral:rRNA from 1 species